CGUAAUGCAUAGGAAUCUGCCUAGUAGUGGGGGAUAACUCGGAGAAAUCCGUGCUAAUACCGCAUAAGCCCUACGGGGGAAAACGGGGGAUCUUCGGACCUCGUGCUAUUAGAUGAGCCUAUGUUAGAUUAGCUUGUUGGUGAGGUAAUGGCUCACCAAGGCGACGAUCUAUAGCUGGUCUGAGAGGAUGAUCAGCCACACUGGGACUGAGACACGGCCCAG
rnacentral:rRNA from 1 species